GGUCCGGUGGCCUAGUAGUUAGAGCUUCCGCCUCGGAUACGGAAGGUCGCGGGUUCUAACCCGGCCGAGUUA